UUCUAUGUGGGUAUUUGAAAUUGUCCUGAUCAGGGCGAACCAACUUGUGCUAAUGUUUCGGCUAGUUUCUGUGUUUAGUUCUUCAAAUUUUCAACUCUAUCAAUGAUAAUGUUCGACUUUGGCAAAUCUUUUUCGAUAUUAUAGAAUCGAAGCAAACAGUAACAAUGUAUACUUACUAAGAACUACAAUAAUAUACAGAUGGAAGUGAACAAAAUCUGUGA
rnacentral:misc_RNA from 1 species